rnacentral:rRNA from 1 species
AUACGGAGGGAGCGAGCGUUAAUCGGAAUUACUGGGCGUAAAGCGCGCGUAGGCGGCUUUGUAAGUCGGAUGUGAAAGCCCUGGGCUUAACCUGGGAAUGGCAUUCGAUACUGCAGAGCUAGAGUAUAGUAGAGGCAAGUGGAAUUCCGGGUGUAGCGGUGAAAUGCGUAGAUAUCCGGAGGAACAUCAGUGGCGAAGGCGACUUGCUGGACUAAUACUGACGCUGAGGAGCGAAAGCGUGGGGAGCAAACGGGAUUAGAAACCCCAGUAGUCC